UACGAAGGGUGCAAGCGUUAAUCGGAAUUACUGGGCGUAAAGGGCGCGUAGGCGGUCUUGCAAGUCCUGUGUGAAAUCCCUCGGCUCAACUGAGGAACUGCACAGGAAACUGCUUGGCUUGAGUUCGGGAGAGGGAAGCGGAAUUCCGGGUGUAGCGGUGAAAUGCGUAGAUAUCCGGAGGAACACCGGUGGCGAAGGCGGCUUCCUGGACCGACACUGACGCUGAGGCGCGAAAGCUAGGGGAGCAAACGGG
rnacentral:rRNA from 1 species